UGAGCAACCUACCGAAAUGUGGGGAUAGCCGGCCUAACGGCCGAGUAAUACCGCAUACGCUCUCGAUGAGGCAUUUCAUUGAGAGGAAACCUACGGGACAUUUCGAGGGCUCGCGGCCUAUCAGCUAGUUGCGAGGUAACGGCUCACCAAGGCAACG
rnacentral:rRNA from 1 species